GACAGAGGUGCCAAGCGUUAGGCGGAAUCACUGGGCUUAAAGCGUGUGUAGGCGGAAUUGUAAGUACCUUGUGAAAGCCCAGAGCUCAACUCUGGAACUGCCUUUGAUACUGUCGAUCUGGAGCAGAGUAGAGGUGAGUGGAAUUCCGAGUGUAGAGGUGAAAUUCGUAGAUAUUCGGAAGAACACCAGUGGCGAAGGCGACUCGCUGGACAAGUAUUGACGCUGAGGUGCGAAAGCGUGGGGAGCAAACAGG
rnacentral:rRNA from 1 species